CUUGGAUGGGUGGGUGGGAUAAAGGGAAGAGUGGCCCUGCGUCUCUCGGACUUGGUCAACGUUGGGUGGUAUGCCUGGGUGGUACUGGGAUGGUUGUUUUCCUGUGCUGUUUUAUCAUCUUCAGUCAAUUCUGAAGAGCCCAAAUGCCAUUUGCUUGGUCUUCCAUGGGAGAACACAUUAGCCAGUGUGGUUUGUUUCCUGACACUCACCCUACCAGCUGUCAAAAACAAUUUGACCAUUUAAUUGAUUCUGGCUUGUUUUCUGGAAAAGUGAAACUUAGCCUUUUACUGGUGUUAGUUAUGACACCUCCUCCAGUUAAGAAUGACUUUCCCAGGUCAUGGUAGAUCACAAACGGCACAGCUCCCCCGCACUAACAUUUACGUGCUGCGAGGAGGUAAGAGCUGAGCCCACCAUGGGCUUGGCGGGGCCGCUCUGCCUAGAGGCGCUGACUUGAGAGCAGUAAUGAGAGCAAGCCGGGUGGGGACACUUUGGGAACAGCCACCCUCCUUCAGGGCUUCCUUGUGCGAUCCUUGCAGCCAUCACAGUCUGUGCAGAGACCGAGACCUCGUGGGUUGCCUACAUCUGCCUGCUUCCGCCAGCAGCCCCUGGACUGGGCCUCUGCGUGCUCUGCCCGAGCGUCUGACAGCCCUGCCUGCACCACCUGCAAAGCCUGCCCAGCCUCCACUGCCGCAGAGGAGCACAGGGCUUCCAGGGAGCAUCGGAAUCCCAUGGCUAGGCCCCUGGCCCAGCUGCCAUCGUGGCCACAGAGUCUGCUGUGAGGCAGAAGAGGAUCCCAGUUCAUCAGGAGACUCUGGGCUCAGGGACCAAGCCCUUCGCAGCUCCACCACACCUGCAGGAGGCAGCUGGCUUCCUGCUUCUCCUACUGGGAAGGAGGGACCGAGGCCGGCAGGACCACAGCAGACAGCCCGUGCCUCCGGUCCUUCAAGCUCCUUCCCAUCGGGCUGAAAACCAGGAGCAUGCUCAGACACAGGUAUGCGACAUCCUGCUUCGGGGGUGCUAGGAACACUCAGAUGGGGAGAGCUUAGAGAGGCCCCUAAUGCUCACUGAGAGGCUGCUGUGUGCCUCGCACAUACUGGACACACUUGGUGUGUUUGCCUCUUCCUUCUCAGUGUGUUGGUCAGGGCUUUCCAGAGCCCACGGGAGAUGGAUGUCUGUAUGGAUGGAUGGCUUCAGGGAUGGACAGACGGACAGACAGAAGUAGAUUGGUCAUGGGACUGCUCACAUGACUAUGGGGCACGGGACAGCUCAGAGCAUCCCAGCUGAAGCUGGAGAGCCAGGAACCUGGAGAAGUAACUCCAGUCUGAGGCUGCGGGGCUGCGAACGGAGCGGAGGGAGGGCUCUGCUGUGCAACCCAAGAACCUCAGAUUCUGACGCCCAAGGACAGGAGAUGGUAGGUGUCCUGGCUGCAGGGAUGGGGAGAUGCUUCCUCCACUUUUAUUCCUGCUGUUCAGACCUGAGCGGAUUGAUGAUACUGCUCCUGCUUAUGCCCGAGGUGGUCAGAAUUUUCUUUACUCUGUCAGUGAAUUCAAAUGCUAACUGCUCCCAGAGACUCCAUACAAACGCACACAGGACAGCUAACGUGGCAUCCCUAGCUCAGUCAAGUUGCUCAGUAAAGUUAAAACUCUUCCGCUCCACUCCAUCAGGGAGAAAAGGAGACCCAGAGACUUAAGAAUCAGAACUGGGACAGUCUGACUCUAUUUCUUUUCCCUCCUUGGUGUUGCUGAAGGCUUCCUGCUGGGAAGUUUCCGUCCUGGUAGGAGGAGACCUGUCCCUUCCUGAGGACAGAUGGGGCUCAGAAGACAAGUCUGGGGUCUCUACCUGUGCACUAGUGAGACACAGUGUACACACGACUGUCACAAUGGUCCCAAGGCACACACGUUUCUGGCUCGAGGAGGAAGCUCUUAAAACCAAAAGGGUGGACUUCUUAUUCAAGCCAACAAAACAUGGUGUUGGGGAUGUACCACUGAUGAAAUUACACGUCUGAGGGGAACUCCAUUUUUAUUCAAAACAACAAUCUGGGAUCUUGCAGUGUUUUUCUAAUUCUUCAUUAAUGCGCAUUUUUUACUGAUGCCUCUGAUUGUUUUCUUGGGACACAUUCCUGGAAGCAAAAAGACUUGUGUGCAUUAUGGUUUUUGAUACAAGAGCCAGCGUUCCUUCCAGAAGGCUGCCCAGGUGCUAUUCACAUCCAGUGCUGGCCAGAGCUGCCUUCCACACCAGCCAAGCACAGGCGUCUCAGCCAAGGGAAUGUGUGGCUGCCUACCCGUGCUUCAUUUCUCCCCCUUGUAUCGCGCGAGUCCUGCACACCCCCCAGUCAGUGUGACAGUGGACGUGAAACCCAUUUAGCCUUUAAUGGUCCUGUUUGGAUACAGGUCACACAGCUUUGAAAAAGCAGUGGUGUUAGUUUUGCUGUUAUUAAGAAACUCACAAAUAAUAGUAACAUUAAUUUAGCCACAAAAGAAUCCAAACUGCCUCUGAUGGAAGUGAAAGAAUGGACUAUUUUUGUUUUUAUGAUGACUAUUAUGUAAGUAAUACAUGUUCAGUACAAAAAACAAGAGAGUACAGAUAAUAUCACCCAUAUUGCAAUUCCUCAGUAUAACAGACUAUCACUAAUGUUUAGUACAAAUUCCCCUUUUGUUUCCUCUACCUUGUGUAUAUGUAUGUGUGUGUGUUUCUGUGUGUAAACC
ensembl:lincRNA